UGCACAAUUUAUGCUAGAAGAUUUGUUCAAACCAGUUCCAGCAUUAGCUUCAGACACAGCAGGACGAGGUCCAGAUGAAGCACGCUUUUCAGUUGCAAGGGCAAAUGGCUGCGGAACAGUGUGCUUCGUUCGAACAUUUGCUGCAGCAGGUUUUGAUACAUGUUUGGAUACUCUCGUUUUAUUAUUCUUUGUUCUGGCAGUUUCAUGUUUGACCUCAUCCUCAGGCAGGCCAGCGUAUAGAUUGGAGUUUAACAUGCUCUGCUCUUCCUUGGCAUUCUCAAUUUGACUUUGUUCAGAUUUCACAACUGAAUCUUCAGUAGUGCAUUCCUUCACCUCAUAUUCUUUUGCUUCGGUGCCUUCAUCUGUACCUUGG
rnacentral:lncRNA from 1 species